CUGGGUGAUGCAAAUGGUUAAUGCAUUUGGCUGUGAACCAAAAGGUUGGAGGCUCGAGUCCACCCAGA
rnacentral:tRNA from 1 species